rnacentral:lncRNA from 1 species
GCCAAAUAAUGAGGUCAAACACACCCUUAAUGCCUUUACUAAACUCUUAUCUUUUCGACGACCAAAGAAAACCAUAGGUCACUCUUCUCAAGAUAUCAGAUCUUCAAACUCGACGAGUUGAAGGAGAGAUCCACCUGAAGCACAUCUGCGUUCGUCCUUCUCAACCAUUGCUUUCCCGCCGAAGGCUGCCUUCUUUCUCUUGAGCUGUCGUUUGCCAAUCAAAGGAGAGAUUCAUCUCAAGCACCUAAAGCUUCACUCAGUGCUUUCAUCCUCCUACACCGUAUUUUUACGAUCAAAAACCAAUUAUAUCAGGCAAGUUUUGCUGUAAAUUUAUCAUGUUCGUUUUGUAAUUUUAUAUUUUGAGCUUUUCGACCUUGUCAUUGUUGUGAUUUAGGUUUUUUCGUAAAACUGAGAUUUGAUUCUAGGAUUUGUAUUCCAUGAAUUAAUUUAUUGAGGUAGUUAUAUUUAACAACGAAAAAAGUUGUUUGUAUUGUCAUUAGUUCGAAAUAGUGCCUGUUAAAUUUCAAUCAAAUCUGGAAUGCUGUUUGUAUUUAUUAGUCACCAAAUAUAGUUCUAAAUUUCCAAUUUCAUGUCCUUUCGGGUUUUAAUUCUGAAUAUCCUCCUUGACCUUGUUUAGUAUUAAACUUAUGAAAAUUAGUGUAUUGCGCCUUUUUCCUCUCAAGUUUAUAUUUAGUAGUAUUUCCAUUUUUUCCCUUUACUUUGCAAAGUUCUAAGUUUUACUAAUCUUAUGAGUCAUAAUAGAUUGUUCAUUUUUAAAUUGUUCAAAAUUUGUGUAAAAUCAUCUCAUGAUGACUCCAUGGGCUGAGGGAAUAUGAGAAAUGUACAGAUUACUAUAACUAUACUUAACUAUGGCAAAACCGUAAAAGGCUAAUUUUUUGGAGGAUGCUGGUUGCUUUGAAGGAGAGCUUCAUUUUCAUAACAUUCAGUUCUCCCCUUUAAAGUGGACAAGGAAAAUCUGGUUAUUGUCAGAAACACACAUAUGGAGGAUGAGCUUCUAGAUUUUGAAUAUUUGUGGAGGAGUGUCUCCAUAUAGAAAUUUAUUCUAUGGGUUACUUUUAAUUAGAAUCCUGGAUAUUCCAAUAGAGAGGCUCGAGUAUCAUACUCUUUCACUUAAAAAAUAUGCUUGCUUAGUAAGGUUUUGAAUUGAUACGACCAAAUUUAUCGCCUCAAUAACAUGUGAUUAAAUAUUGUUUACGUUGGUCAAACUACUCUCCAUCAUUGAAGCACUUCUCUCUGUGUUAUUUACAACAACAACCUUAAAAGUGCUCUUUUAAUCGAUCGGGUAUCUUGGAUGAAUUAAAAGGGAACUUGACAGUAGGAUAUUUGUGCCCUCUCUUCUUGUAGAAAUAAAUCAGAAAUGCAAAGCUUACAAUAGGGCUGCAAUAAUAGCUAAUUUAGUGUUGGAGCUUUCUUUUUCUUUAAUCCAUUUGUAAUAUAGUGCUUGGAUUAGAUGUGCCAAUCGAGGAUUUUGAAUCUUCAAAUGACAUGGCACUUCCUUGUGAAUGAGCUUUUCCAGUCUAAUUUGAAUUUAAUAGAAAACUUUCAUCUAAGACAAACUUUAGACUGCUGCUACAAUUUGGAAGAUGAGGGAAAAAAUUGUCACCACUAAAGUUCAAGUAAAAAAUUCAUAUCCGUAACAACUCAGGUCUCUGUACCCAAGUCGUUAAUUUACGUAGUGUCCGCUUUGGGUGGG